UUUUGCAUUCUCUUCGCCUUACCAGAUUCACGUCGCCGGUAUACCGGUCUCGUCGAAGUAGAAAGCAAUGAUUGUAUGAUUCAAUUGAAAACAAAGAAAAAAGAGAGAUUUGAGAUCAUGCAUCUUCGAUCUCGAUUCUAAAGCUCAAGGUAAUUUGUUAGAGAAGUUGUGAGAGCUUGAGUGUAAACAGACAGAGAAGUUUGGUGUAAAUAUCCUUUGUUGUCUGUUUGUUUUUGCUCUUAGAAAAAAAAAGAAAGAAAAGGAGAUUGCGGCAAAGAAGAGUUCCAAACGUAUGUAUUCAUGUUGGUGGGAUAGUCACAAAUAAAUAUAUAUAUAUAUAUAUAUAUAUAUAAAGUGUAGUUUCCUAAUUUCAGAAGUGUAGCUGCCACAUCAUCACCUCUUUCUGGUUAAGAGGCCUAAUUUCAGAAGUUAUCCAAUUUCACUUUUCUUCUAUUCUUGGGCCUAAACUUUUAAAGGUCCAUUUUUUGAACCUUUCCUAUCCUCCAUUCAGCCGUUCUCCGAGUUGCGACCUCAACCGUCCCUCCCCUUCUAGAUUAAGUUUACCAUCGAUCUCAAAUUAAUGGUCGCCACUCCACACCCUUUCACUGCCUCUCCUGUCUUUCUUCUCCAUAGUAACGGUUUCGUGUUUAAUGGCCAUUCAUGAGCGUCGAUGAUCUCUGUUUUCAUUCAACACCCACUACGCUUUCUUCAAUUGCCCUGGUCGUCUUCACCAACAGAUCGUCGGAAGGAUGCUUCGUCAUUGGCCUGCCCGUAACGUUAAAAAAGGUGGCCAACUCAUGGGCGUUGAUUUCCUACUCAUUGAUGAGAAGAGUACUGUCAUCCAAGGGUGAUCAAUGUUUCUGUGUUGGCAUUUUUUAAUCUGGUUCUUUCGAUUUGCUGUGUUUAGAGGCGAGACUAAACAUUCUCAAACAUUGAUGAGUUCUUUUCAAAAGUUGCACUUGGCUUUAGGCUCAUUUUGAAUAGCUUACCCGCUGUUUUAAUGCAAACCCUGGUGGGAGAAGCCGCCUGGAAGCACGACUACAACAACAUUCUUCAAGUAGGCGAUUGAAUCCUCCACAGGCUCGUGCUCCUGUUAGAGCACCACCACGGGGUCGAGGUCGUCGUUUAGAUCGUGCACCUGGUUUUUUAGACGGAGCUAUGAAUAUCAGUUUUUCAAAUGAUAUGAGCUUUGACGAGAGAUUGGAUUUUUUUGGAGGGACUAGAGAAUGCUAUUAACAAUAGGAAUCUUCUUCAUAUGAGCUGAUUACGAAAUGCUGCUAGCUCUUGAUGAAACCAACCAUUCACAUGGCGGCGCUUCUACUCAACGCAUUAACGACUUACCAGAGUCUACAGUUCAGACUGAUAAGUUUGAAGAAACUUGUGUUAUUUGUCCGACGAUCGGAGACACCAUACGUCAUCUCCCCUGUUUGCACAAAUUCCUUAAAGAUUGUAUUGAUCCGUGACUAGGACGGAUUAAAGCAUGUCCGGUUUGCAAAUCCUCAGUUACUUGACAAGGUUCUCAAAACUCACCAUUGAUACACAUAAUUAAGUCAAUAUAUCAUCAACUGAAAGUGGUUUUUUACUUCUUUACUUUGGAAUGGGCUUCUGUUUUAAUUUGUUUUUAUUAAAUGACUCGGGCUUUGAUUUAGGACUAUUUACGUUCUCUAUUUUCGAGUAAUAUGAAUAUGUCCAUUUUGAUCGUAAGAUAUGUGUUCAUGUAUAAUAUUGCAUCUCCAUAUGAUACUAGA